rnacentral:rRNA from 1 species
AGGAUUCCCGUAGUAACUGCGAGUGAAGCGGGAAAAGCUCAAAUUUAAAAUCUGGCGGUCUCUGGCCGUCCGAGUUGUAAUCUAGAGAAGUAAUGCCCGUGCUGGACCGUGUAUAAGUCUCCUGGGAUGGGGCGUCAUAGAGGGUGAGAAUCCCGUCUUUGACACGGACUACCAGUGCAUUGUGGUAUGCUCUCAAAGAGUCGAGUUGUUUGGGAAUGCAGCUCAAAAUGGGUGGUAAAUUCCAUCUAAAGCUAAAUAUUGGCGAGAGACCGAUAGCGAACAAGUACCGUGAGGGAAAGAUGAAAAGAACUUUGGAAAGAGAGUUAAACAGUACGUGAAAUUGCUGAAAGGGAAACGCUUGAAGUCAGUCGCGUUGGCCGGGGAUCAGCCUUGCUUUUGCAUGGUGUACUUUCUGGUUGACGGGUCAGCAUCAAUUUUGACCACUGGAAAAAGACCUGGGGAAUGUGGCAGCUUCGGCUGUGUUAUAGCCCCUAGUCGCAUACAGUGGUUGGGAUUGAGGAACUCAGCACGCCGCAAGGCCGGGUUUCGACCACGUUCGUGCUUAGGAUGCUGGCAUAAUGGCUUUAAGCGACCCGUCUUGAAACACGGACCAAGGAGUCUAACAUGCCUGCGAGUAUUUGGGUGGAAAACCCAAGUGCGUAAUGAAAGUGAAAGUUGAGAUCCCUGUCGUGGGGAGCAUCGACGCCCGGACCAGAACUUUUGGGACGGAUCCGCGGUGGAGCAUGUAUGUUGGGACCCGAAAGAUGGUGAACUAUGCCUGAAUAGGGUGAAGCCAGAGGAAACUCUGGUGGAGGCUCGUAGCGAUUCUGACGUGCAAAUCGAUCGUCAAAUUUGGGUAUAGGGGCGAAA